UCAAACUUGGUCAUUUAGAGGAAGUAAAAGUCGUAACAAGGUCUCCGUUGGUGAACCAGCGGAGGGAUCAUUACCGAGUUUACACAAACUCCCAACCCUUUGUGAACCUUACCUACCGUUGCUUCGGCGGACCGCCCCGGGCGCUGCGUGCCCCGGACCCAGGCGCCCGCCGGGGACCAUUCAAACCCUGUUUUUUAACCAGUGUAUCUUCUGAGCGAGCCGAAAGGCAACAAAACAAUCAAAACUUUCAACAACGGAUCUCUUGGUUCUGGCAUCGAUGAAGAACGCAGC
rnacentral:misc_RNA from 1 species